UUUGUUGUGUGAUGAUGU
rnacentral:siRNA from 1 species